GUUAGCACCAGCUUCCAAGAGGGGCGGAGUCAUUUUGGGAAGAGGAAAACCGUAUGAGUCAAGAGCCAAUAAUUCUGUAUUUGAGAUCUCAAAGAUUUCUCUAGGCCCUUGCAAAGCUUGUAGGCCCCAGCUACUGUUACCAUGGAGCCUGAUAGAUGAAACAGCCCUAGUGGACGAGAAGGACGGUUGUUCCUCUGCUGGGCAGAUGAGGAAUCUGAAGCUGGACAGGGGAAAGGACGUGGAGAAAGUCGCACAGCAGAGCAGGAGCUCAAAGAGUUUUGUCAGACACCAAGGACCCAGUCUUUCCUAGAAAGUUUGCAAAGCCCUGCCUCCUUGGUAGAUUUCCUUUCUGCUCUCCUGCAAGUGCCCUGCUGAGCCUCUGGGUAGACCUGACUGGGUUGCCCCUUCGUUGCCAAGGACGGAUCAUCUUGCUGGGCUUUCCCAGGGGCAUUAAUGAAACAGCUCCUGUGGUUGCAGCCACACAAAGUCAUAGCAUCAAAGCACAGAGGAAAGAUCAGUGUCUGGAGUCAGACAGACCUGCGCUCUACAUCUCAGCUCUGCCACUUGCUAGAAAUCUGAUUUUGAGCAGGUCGCUUGAGGUCAGCUUCCUCAUCUGUAGAGGGUUUGGGAAGAAUUAAAUGAUGCAAUAAAAGCCUUAUGAAUGCAUUCAAUUACCUGGGAAUUCAUGUGCUUUUGGAGGAAGUAUGAAGCAGAGAAGCAAGACAGAUGCCUUUAUUUUCUCCCACGGAUGAGGGUGGAAGGCAAGGAACAGUGUUUGAGCUGAGGAACAGACAGUGCAAGGCCUAGGACAAAUGAAGUCUAAUACAGGUGGAUCACAGACUAUGGGGAAGGGAUUAGGGAGAAGUAAAUUAAGGCUUGAGAGCUCAGGCUGAUCCAGAUAGUUCAAAGCCAUGUAAGUACUUAGCACGUUAUCAUAAAAGAUAUGAGGAGCCACUGAAGGGUUUUAAACAAGGGAGUACCAUGACUUAUGUUUUUAUAACUUCACUUUUCUGGGGUAGAGAAUAGAUUGCAGGGGGUCAAGCCUGGAGACAGGCAGCCUGGUUAGGAGGCUGGUGAACCAGCCCAGGUGAUGGGGUGGCAGGCUUGACUAAGGAGAUGGAGGUGGGGAUAGAGAGAAGUGGAUGACUGUGCCGUUUGCUUGUUCUGUGGCUUCAAGUGAGCUAUUUAACCUCUCUAAGCCUCAGGUUUUUUUCAGUCGUUUCUUGAGGAUAAUAAUAGCAUCCUCAUCCCAGAGUUGUUAGGGGAUUAAAUGAGAUCAUGCACACAGAGUACAUAACGGCAUCUGCUCAUACCCAG
rnacentral:lncRNA from 1 species